UACAGAGGUCUCAAGCGUUGUUCAGAUUCAUUGGGCGUAAAGGGUGUGUAGGUGGCGCCGUAAGUCGGGUGUGAAAUUUCGGAGCUUAACUCCGAAACUGCAUUCGAUACUGCGGUGCUUGAGGACUGGAGAGGAGACUGGAAUUCAUGGUGUAGCAGUGAAAUGCGUAGAGAUCGUGAGGAAGACCAGUGGCGAAGGCGGGUCUCUGGACAGUUCCUGACACUGAGACACGAAGGCCAGGGGAGCAAACGGG
rnacentral:rRNA from 1 species